CCUAGGAUCAAAGAGGCAUUAAACCUUGAAGAUGAAACCUUUGGUGAAACUGGGAGACAUGCUGCAGGUUCCUGGUUAGCCCAAUCUGUCUGGGAGUUGUCUGGAAUCCAUGGAUCUGCCUCUGAUGGAAAACCUUAUACUUGGAAGUGUUAAACUUCAUCUGGUUCCAGUCUACCCAACUCUUGAGCCUAUCCGGGUCUGCCUGUAUCAGCAAGCUAUCUUCUGACUUGACCACACUGCCCCAUAACUUGGUGUUGUCCGCAAACUUGGCCAGCGAACUUUUCACUCCCCCAUCCAAAUCAUUGAUAAAGAUGUUGAAAAGCACCAGACCAAGCAUGGAUCUCUGAGGGACACCAUCGGCCACUUCGUGCCAGGACAACACAGAUCCGUUCAUGAGAACUCUCUGGGUCCCACCCUGUA